CCUAAUGGCUCACCUCCAAAUUCCAAGGUCGAAAGAAUGUGCUACAGACUAUAGACUUUAAUUUAUCUCAUGGGGUCAAGGUCUGAAAGCUAGGGAUUGAACCAUCAUAUCCCAAAAAUAGAAAAACAUAUAUAUGUACAUAUAUCUAGCGAACUGGUCAAGAGCCACAUGCUAGCUCUAUAUCUGAAAAGCUAUCGGUAGCUUGGUUGUAAGGUCUCUAAACCAGAGAGAAACUACCUAGUAAGUCUCAGAGCACAGAUAGACUAAUAUGAUGAGUGAAACCAUAGGCUUGUGUGGGAACAGAACUACAAAACGCGCAAAGCGUAGCUAGAGAAUUAAGUUGCUACAGUUGAAUAAAUUAUACAACUUAGACAAAAUGUCUCUAUCCUGCCGCGGAAUGUAAUUCAAGACUGAACGUACUACAGCCCUUCCUACCUCUAUAUCAG